GGAGUGCUUGCACUCUGUGAAACAAGAUACAGGCUAGCGGCGGACGGGUGAGUAACACGUGGGUAACCUGCCCAAGAGAUCGGGAUAACACCUGGAAACAGAUGCUAAUACCGGAUAACAACAGAUGAUGCCUAUCAACUGUUUAAAAGAUGGUUCUGCUAUCACUCAUGGAUGGACCUGCGGUGCAUUAGCUAGUUGGUAGGGUAACGGCCUACCAAGGCGAUGAUGCAUAGCCGAGUUGAGAGACUGAUCGGCCACAUUGGGACUGAGACACGGCCCAAACUCCUACGGGAGGCAGCAGUAGGGAAUCUUCCACAAUGGACGCAAGUCUGAUGGAGCAACGCCGCGUGAGUGAAGAAGGGUUUCGGCUCGUAAAGCUCUGUUGUUGGUGAAGAA
rnacentral:rRNA from 1 species